rnacentral:rRNA from 1 species
UGGGGAAUAUUGCGCAAUGGGCGAAAGCCUGACGCAGCAACGCCGCGUGAGUGAAGAAGGCCUUCGGGUUGUAAAGCUCUUUCAGCAGGAACGAAACGGUCGGCUUUAAUAAAGUCGGCUAAUGACGGUACCUGCAGAAGAAGCACCGGCUAACUACGUGCCAGCAGCCGCGGUAAUACGUAGGGUGCGAGCGUUAAUCGGAAUUACUGGGCGUAAAGCGUGCGCAGGCGGCGACAUAAGACAGAUGUGAAAUCCCCGGGCUCAACCUGGGAACUGCGUUUGUGACUGUGUUGCUAGAGUGUAGCAGAGGGGGGUGGAAUUCCACGUGUAGCAGUGAAAUGCGUAGAUAUCGGGAGGAACAUCAGUGGCGAAGGCGGCCCUCUGGUCCAGUACUGACACUCAAGUGCGAAAGCGUGGGGAGCAAACAGGAUUAGAUACCCCAGUAGUCCCUGAGCGGGCUGGCAAGGCGCAU